AGGACGCGGUGCUCCUGCUAGAGGACCUAGUGGUGGAGGACACCAUCUGGUAGAUGAGGCCGCUCCCAUUCCAGAGGCCGUUCCCAUUCUAGUCCAUCCGCAGCUGUUCCAGGCCAGUGACAGCUCACCGGGACAGUCACCUACGUUUACGCCGGUGCUCCUAAUUGUUGAGAUACCUGGGUCUUCAUCACAGCCCAGCCAAAAUGCGUGCAUGGAGGACCGUUAUGACUUCGAUUGGGCAGCAUUACGCGCUUCAUUAGCUAAUGAUCGGCCUGUGAGGAAUUUAGACUGACCCAGGAUUCUUGACUUCGAUGACUUUUUAAUCCUGGGUUCAGUGCCAGUGGAUCCACAAGAGAGACCUACUCAGGCGUUUUCUCAUCAGCCUGCCGAGCGCCGGUGUCUUCCCAUGUGGUUGUCGAUCCACAGGAUUCGGCGCCAGUGGGUCCAUAAGAGCGACCAAUUCAGGAGCCUUCUCAUGAGUCUGCCGAGGCAGAGGUGUCUUCUCAUGAGACUAUCGAGCCACAGCAUCUCGUCCAGGAGACUACAUCAUAUUCAGCACCAGACCCAUCUCAGACGCCUACAAACCCACCUCAAGAGCUUACUCAGGCGCCCGUUGAUACACAGGUUUGAUUAUUCAACAAACGUUAAUAUAUUCAGUUGAAUAAAUAAGAAAUGGUACUAAUUAUUAUAUAUUUUUAAGGUUCAUCCUUCGGCGCCUGCGGUGGCAACUCCCGACGAGAAAGAGGUCCAGUUUCCAGACCCAGCUCAACCUGAGGUUCUGAGCAUGCCAGCGGGACUAGAUCCCAAGAAGAAGCACGUUAUAGUCAAGGGCGCAAGGGCGAGGGGAAGAGGAGAUGAUCAUGACUUGGAGCGCCCAGUUAUUAAGAGAAAAAAGGGCGAUGGAGACGAUGGCGAGGGCGGUGGGGAUGGUAUGAGCCUUAGGCCUAGGAUAGACUCCGGCAUAAUACAUGUGGGACCCACUAGUAUAUACAAUAAUCUUGUA